rnacentral:lncRNA from 1 species
UUUUAUGGGUUGCCUGGGAGUGUGGGCUGCUAGGGAUCCUGGCAGCUAGGUCCCUUCCCAGCAGAGUUCAACCAUCGUCAAUCUUAAUAAGGGUAGAAAAGUAUAGAUAAAAAAGAAUGAAGCUUUUAUGCAACAACCAGGGACACCACUUUGGUCAGCAUCAUGCCUGUCCAUGACAAGGCCUCAGUCUGGUGGCCUUGGCUACCUCCUUCAGAAAUAUUCAAGCACUUCCCACCAAAAAAUGUAGACGU